AAGUCGAACGGUAACAGGUCUUCGGACGCUGACGAGUGGCGAACGGGUGAGUAAUACAUCGGAACGUGCCCAGUCGUGGGGGAUAACUACUCGAAAGAGUAGCUAAUACCGCAUACGAUCUGAGGAUGAAAGCGGGGGACCUUCGGGCCUCGCGCGAUUGGAGCGGCCGAUGGCAGAUUAGGUAGUUGGUGGGAUAAAAGCUUACCAAGCCGACGAUCUGUAGCUGGUCUGAGAGGACGACCAGCCACACUGGGACUGAGACACGGCCCAGACUCCUACGGGAGGCAGCAGUGGGGAAUUUUGGACAAUGGGCGAAAGCCUGAUCCAGCAAUGCCGCGUGCAGGAUGAAGGCCUUCGGGUUGUAAACUGCUUUUGUACGGAACGAAAAAGCUUCUCCUAAUACGAGAGGCCCAUGACGGUACCGUAAGAAUAAGCACCGGCUAACUACGUGCCAGCAGCCGCGGUAAUACGUAGGGUGCGAGCGUUAAUCGGAAUUACUGGGCGUAAAGCGUGCGCAGGCGGUUAUGUAAGACAGAUGUGAAAUCCCCGGGCUCAACCUGGGAACUGCAUUUGUGACUGCAUGGCUA
rnacentral:rRNA from 1 species